rnacentral:lncRNA from 1 species
UUAUUUAACUACUUAUCCAAAGCUUCUGGAUACUGAUUAUUUUUCUUCUAAAGAACUCAGAGAUAAUCCAGGUUUUGUGCUUGUGUAUGAGAGUUUUCAGUGAAAAUCAUCUGUGCUGCUUGAAGAAGAACUGGCGUGUCCCAACUGAAAGUGUAAGUCAAUGGUGUAGAACCAGCACCUAACCAAACCAAAGCCCAUGGCACAGAUCUGGACUACUCUCAAUGCCAUUUAUGGCUAUAGUAGUAGUACCCAUAUGGUAAUUACACCAGGAUCAAACAGUACUUGCUUCAGCUCUGCUUCCCAGUUUUGGCUCUAGGAGUCACAGAAUGAUUAAUCAAACUAUGGCCAAGAAACGGGAAAGAAGAGAGAAGAAGGAGCUUAAAGACAUUUAUAUAAAUAAUAGAACUUAAAAUCUUGAAAACUCUAAGUAUCAGGUAAGACAAAGAUCACAGUAAUACAAUAUACAUUUAUCUAAUUUGUUCAAAAGGAGAAAGAUGACCUAAACCUAAAGAUCAGAACACACAAUACCUCAGCUCUCUUCUGCUGCACUGGGAAAACUCUAAAAUCUUCAAUCUCUUAAUCCUACCUAUCAAAAAACAAGUUUAUAGAGCCAUGUUACCUCUGUGGUGUCCAUGAUAAUAAUUCUAGAUAUUUUAAGGUAUGUUUCUAGAUAUCAUCUUGGUUUGGGUUUCCCCAAGCAUACCCUGAUAAACAGGUUUCGAUGUUGAUAGUUUACGAAGGAGUUGAUCCUAGGAAGUGCAAGCAAGAGUAGGGAUAGCAAGACUUGGAAGAGAGAAAAGUUCAGAUGGAGCACAGUGAUGAGCAGCCCCAACAAAUGUAAGAAGUUGGAGCUCCAUUUUGCACCAAUUUCCCUCUGGAAUUUCACAUAGAACAUGCCUCAUAAUUGUUGUGCCAGAGAUAGGAAACUGGAUUAAAUAUGUCCCUCACUGAUACACUUGGGUGAGGGUUGACUUUUGGAAUAAUAAAACUAGGGCACUUUGGAGCUGCCCUGAUUUGGCUGAAAAAGGUUCCAAGGUGCUAGAGAAACAGUCAUGUGGUGUAGACCCCUGAGGAGGAAAAAAAUGUCAGUGAGUGCAGGAACACUCUUCUGCGGCUAUAGGUGGAUGGAGGGAUUAUGGAUUGAGACAUUAACAUUAAUCUGCAAGUGAGGCAUACUUACAGUAUAGUCAGAUUCUCUGAAAAUACACUGAAUUCUACUACAAAUUUCUUAACAGAAUAUGUGAGCCUUCUUUGCCCUAAACUUAGUCUUUAGCUAAAAAUACCCUGUUUUAUACUGAUUCUAGCCUUCAACUUAUUGGAAGGGUUUGUCUGCACAUGCUAAGAAACUCAGCAAACAUGAAGUAAAUGAUUGUAUCUAGUACAUCAAACACUAGGACUGUUCAAUCUAAAAUAUCAAUCAAAUUACCUAUUAGAUCAUCCAUGAGGACGUGGGUUCAAUCCCUGGGCUCCCUCAGUGGGUUAGUGAUCUGGCUUGCUGUGAGUUGUGGUGUAGGUCACAAACACAGUUUGGAUCCUAUGUUGCUGUGUCUGUAGUGUAGGCCAGAGGCUACAGCUCUGAUGCGACCCCUAGCCAGGGAACCUCCAUGUGCUGUGGGUGUGGCCC